GACGAACGCUGGCGGCGUGCCUAAUACAUGCAAGUAGAACGCUGAAGGAGGAGCUUGCUCUUCUGGAUGAGUUGCGAACGGGUGAGUAACGCGUAGGUAACCUGCCUGGUAGCGGGGGAUAACUAUUGGAAACGAUAGCUAAUACCGCAUAACAGUAGAUGUUGCAUGACAUUUGCUUAAAAGGUGCAAUUGCACCACUACCAGAUGGACCUGCGUUGUAUUAGCUAGUUGGUGGGGUAACGGCUCACCAAGGCGACGAUACAUAGCCGACCUGAGAGGGUGAUCGGCCACACUGGGACUGAGACACGGCCCAGACUCCUACGGGAGGCAGCAGUAGGGAAUCUUCGGCAAUAGACGGAAGUCUGACCGAGCAACGCCGCGUGAGUGCAGAAGGUUUUCGGAUCGUAAAGCUCUGUUGUAAGAGAAGAACGAGUGUGAGAGUGGAAAGUUCACACUGUGACGGUAUCUUACCAGAAAGGGACGGCUAACUACGUG
rnacentral:rRNA from 1 species